UCUCCGUUGGUGAACCAGCGGAGGGAUCAUUACCGAGUUUACAACUCCCAAACCCAAUGUGAACGUUACCAAACUGUUGCCUCGGCGGGAUCUCUGCCCCGGGUGCGUCGCAGCCCCGGACCAAGGCGCCCGCCGGAGGACCAACCAAAACUCUUUUGUAUACCCCCUCGCGGGUUUUUAUAUCUGAGCCAUCUCGGCGCCUCUCGUAGGCGUUUCGAAAAUGAAUCAAAACUUUCAACAACGGAUCUCUUGGUUCUGGCAUCGAUGAAGAACGCAGCGAAAUGCGAUAAGUAAUGUGAAUUGCAGAAUUCAGUGAAUCAUCGAAUCUUUGAACGCACAUUGCGCCCGCCAGUAUUCUGGCGGGCAUGCCUGUCCGAGCGUCAUUUCAACCCUCGAACCCCUCCGGGGGGUCGGCGUUGGGGAUCGGCCCUUUACGGGGCCGGCCCCGAAAUACAGUGGCGGUCUCGCCGCAGCCUCUCCUGCGCAGUAGUUUGCACACUCGCAUCGGGAGCGCGGCGCGUCCACAGCCGUUAAACACCCAACUUCUGAAAUGUUGACCUCGGAUCAGGUAGGAAUACCCGCUGAACUUAA
rnacentral:rRNA from 1 species